rnacentral:rRNA from 1 species
CCUACGGGAGGCAGCAGUAGGGAAUAUUGCUCAAUGGGGGAAACCCUGAAGCAGCAACGCCGCGUGGGGGAAGAAGGUUUUCGGAUCGUAAACUCCUGUUGUCAGAGAAGAAAAUGACGGUACCUAACGAAUAAGCACCGGCUAACUCCGUGCCAGCAGCCGCGGUAAUACGGAGGGUGCAAGCGUUACCCGGAAUCACUGGGCGUAAAGAGCGCGUAGGCGGGAGUGCAAGUCAGAUGUGAAAUCCUAUGGCUUAACCCUAGAACUGCAUUUGAAACUGUUAUUCUAGAGUAUGGGAGAGGUAGGUGGAAUUCUUGGUGUAGGGGUGAAAUGCGUAGAGAUCAGGAGGAAUACUCGUGGCGAAGGCGACCUGCUGGAACAUAACUGACGCUGAUGCGCGAAAGCGUGGGGAGCAAACAGGAUUAGAUACCCGAGUAGUC